rnacentral:rRNA from 1 species
UACGGGGGGGGCAAGCGUUGUUCGGAAUUACUGGGCGUAAAGGGCGCGUAGGCGGCCUGUUAAGUCGAACGUGAAAUCCCCAGGCUCAACUCGGGAACUGCGUCCGAUACUGGCAGGCUUGAAUCCGGGAGAGGGAUGCGGAAUUCCAGGUGUAGCGGUGAAAUGCGUAGAUAUCUGGAGGAACACCGGUGGCGAAGGCGGCAUCCUGGACCGGCAUUGACGCUGAGGCGCGAAAGCCAGGGGGAGCGA